rnacentral:rRNA from 1 species
UGGGGAAUAUUGCACAAUGGGGGAAACCCUGAUGCAGCGACGCCGCGUGAACGAAGAAGGUAUUCGUAUCGUAAAGUUCUGUCCUAUGGGAAGAUAAUGACAGUACCAUAGAAGAAAGCUCCGGCUAAAUACGUGCCAGCAGCCGCGGUAAUACGUAUGGAGCGAGCGUUGUCCGGAAUUAUUGGGCGUAAAGGGUACGCAGGCGGUUUAAUAAGUCGAAUGUUAAAGAUCGGGGCUCAACCCCGCAAAGCAUUGGAAACUGAUAAACUUGAGUAGUGGAGAGGAAAGUGGAAUUCCUAGUGUAGUGGUGAAAUGCGUAGAUAUUAGGAGGAAUACCAGUAGCGAAGGCGACUUUCUGGACACAAACUGACGCUGAGGUACGAAAGCGUGGGGAGCAAACAGG